AACUGAGACCUAGAGAGUGAAUAAACCAGUUAUCAAGUAACCACUUAGGAUUACAUCUGGUACAUUCCUGCCCCCCCCACACACACUUAGGUAGUGAAACUGGACGGACGGCCUUGGGGGCGGGGUAUAUUGUCCAGGGGUGUGGUCGAGGAUCUGGAGGAGGGGCAUGCUGUCCCGUGGGCGGAGCCGGCGACCGCACUGGACUGAAGUCUUGGGAGAGCUAAGUCCCUCUCCCACGGCCGGGCAAACGCAGGACCAUGGGCGUCCAGGAGCGGGAAGCACAGAGGCGGCGGGGCUGAGAACCACUGAGACCUCCGGUACGGCCAUGGGCGACCGCGAGCGCAACAAGAAGCGGCUACUGGAGCUGCUGCAAGCUGCGGGCACCGGCAACGCUCACUGCGCCGACUGCGGGGCUGCGGAUCCUGAUUGGGCCUCUUACAAGCUGGGGAUUUUCAUCUGUCUCCACUGCUCUGGCGUCCAUCGCAACUUCCCAGACGUCAGCAAAGUUAAAUCCGUGAGACUGGACUUCUGGGACGACAGUAUGGUGGAGUUCAUGACCCACAAUGGAAAUCUCAAUGGGAAAGCCAAAUUUGAAGCCAGAGUCCCAGCUUUUUACUAUGUGCCUCAAGCCAGCGACUGCCUGGUCUUAAAGGAACAAUGGAUUCGAGCUAAAUAUGAAAGACAGGAAUUUAUGGCUAAUGAGAAAGCUGUCUCACCCCCAGGUGACCGGGAAGUGUUCCUGUGGAAGCGGGGGCGCGACAAUGCACAGUUCCUGAGAAGGAGGUUUGUCCUUCUGGCAAGAGAAGGCCUCCUGAAGUAUUACACCAAGGAGGAGGGUAAAACCCCAAAGGCUGUCAUCAACAUCAAGGACUUGAAUGCCACCUUCCAGACAGAGAAGAUAGGACAUCCCCAUGGGCUGCAGAUCACCUACAGAAGAGAGGGUCACACCAGGAAUCUCUUUGUAUAUCAUGACAGUGGGAAGGAGAUAGUGGAUUGGUUCAAUGCUCUCCGUGCAGCCCGCCUGCAAUACCUAAAACUGGCCUUCCCUGAUCUCCCAGAGUCUGAGCUCGUGCCUCUCAUCACCAGGAACUACCUCAAACAAGGCUUCAUGGAGAAGACUGGUCCGAAGCAGAGAGAACCCUUCAAGAAAAGAUGGUUUGCCCUGGAUCCCCUGGAGCGAAGGCUGCUGUAUUACAAGAACCCCCUGGAUGCUUUUGAGCAGGGCCAGGUUUUACUGGGAAGAAAUGAGCAGGGGUAUGAAGUAUGUGAAGACCUGCCCAAGGGCAUCCGAGGGAAUCGCUGGAAGGCUGGACUCACUGUCAUCACUCCAGAGCGGAAAUUCAUCUUCACCUGCCCUAGUGAGAAGGAGCAGCGAGAAUGGCUGGAGAGUCUUCGGGGUGUCCUGUCCAGUCCCUUAUCGCCCCUCCAACUCCUCACUCUGUGAAAAGCAGAGAUAUGCUGAGCUAAGGAGGAAACAUCUGGCCCAGGGCCCAGCUUCUGGGGCAUAAAGGAAAAGUUCUUGUGUUUGGAAAAGUACAGACUAAACAGAUGCAUCAGCAGAGAGUCGCUGUGGCCUCAGGUGACCUCUCUCAGAACUGACUGGCCACUGAGCACCUAAAAUCCUGGAGAAAUGUUCACCUCUGCCCUGGUUGUCCAGAGGAAGCGCGGAGGCCAGCAGCUGCCCCUGUGAGUGAACUCUGUCAAGACUGAGGGUGUGGUUUAUCUUGUGGCUCCCACCAUCCUUCCAGCAAACAUUUCCCAGUCUUGGGGAGCUGGUACCAAGAAGAAUUUAGCUCCCCAAGCUUACAAGUCCUGAGGCUUUCUCAUAUCUGCAUCGAGAGUGGGUGUGGAGAAGCAUGCCUGUCAAGAGGCAGGAGUGCCAGCCUGGACCACACAGAGAGUUCAAUUCCAACCUGAAUUACAUAGCAAGACCUUGUCUCAAAACAAAAACAAGCCGGGUGUUGGUGGUGCACGCCUUUAAUCCCAGCACCAGGGAGGCAGAGGCAGGCGGAUCUCUGAGUUCGAGGCCAGCCUGGUCUACAGAGCAAGUGCCAGGACAGCCUCCAAAACAAUACAGAGAAACCCUGUCUCGAAAAACCAAAAAACAAACAAACAAAAACAAAAACAAAGGAAGCAAACAAACAACAAAAACUACAGAGAAUGGGAAGAGACAUUGCAGUAAAAAGGCACCAUCAAAGGGUGUUGGUGGUGCACUCCUUUCAACCCAGCACUCAGGAGGCAGAGGCAGGCGGAUCUCUUUGCAUUCGAGACCAGCGUGGUCUACAUAGUGAGUUCCAGGACAAGUUCCAAAGCAACACAGAGAAACCCUGUCUCAAAAAAACCAAAAGGAAAAAAAAGCACCCUCAGCAUCAAGAUUGGACAAGUAGAAAAACCGUAAAAGUUUAGUGUGAACCUAAAUAUGAAGGAAUAAUCAGACAUUCAAAUAUUACAUGUUGCUAUACAACUAGCCUGAACUCUUCCAAUAUCAAUAUUAAAAGAUAAAACUGGA